CAACUACAUUGAGUAUAGGAGGUCCAGCCUGCCCAGUGACUACGGGUUCAACGGCCGCGGUAUUUUGACCGUGCAAAGGUAGCGCAAUCACUUGUCUCUUAAAUAGAGACCUGUAUGAAUGGCUAGACGAGGGCUUAACUGUCUCCCCCUUCCGGUCAGUGAAAUUGAUCUAUCCGUGCAGAAGCGGGUAUAAUUAUACAAGACGAGAAGACCCUUUGGAGCUUAAGGUACAAGAUUCAACCACGUUAAACGACUCCACAUAAAGCGCGAACUUAGUGGUACCUGAAAUUUUACCUUCGGUUGGGGAGACCGCGGAGGAAAAAGAAGCCUCCGAGUGGACUGGGCCAAACCCCUAAAGCCAAUAGAUACAUCUAUAAGCCGCAGAACAUCUGACCAAAAAUGAUCCGACUGAAGAGCCGAUCAACGAACCAAGUUACCCUAGGGAUAACAGCGCAAUCCUCUCCCAGAGUCCAUAUCGACGAGGGGGUUUACGACCUCGAUGUUGGAUCAGGACAUCCUAAUGGUGCAGCCGCUAUUAAGGGUUCGUUUGUUCAACGAUUAAAGU
rnacentral:rRNA from 1 species